rnacentral:lncRNA from 1 species
UCAUGAACUUUUUAAAUUAAUUCGGAUUACACAAAAGAGAGCAUAGGGAGAAGCACAACAUUAAAUCAUGAAGAAAACAUUUGUAUCAGUAUUGACAAACAUACACCCUAUGUCUUUAAACACCUGAACUUCUAGAUUAAAAUAUUUUUCUGAUUUACAGAGGAUAACACCCUAAAUCUGCCAGAGUUAGGCUCCUAUAUGAUGUUAAAGCCUCCUACUCAACUAAAUUCACAAUAUUCAUAAUACCCUCUCUCUGAGUAACUCUACUCCAUAUAUUCAGGAAACGGUUAACCGUCCAACUUCUCACUGCAAUGUCACUGUGCUUCCCUCGUGAUAUUAGGAGUUCCCAUCUCACCCUUUCUAGAAUAAACUGGCCAAAAUUUAGGCCCACUAUUCCCUUGAUGGAUCAGUUGUUCACUUGAAAACCCCUCGACUCAUCGGCUUAUCAAUACUCCCUCCUGAAUCUUGAGCCUUGUCCUUAAGGCUAAAUUGCAGAAAUUGACUUUUAAUGGUUAAUAUAUCCUCCCAAGUGGCCUUUUAAGCUAAUUUCCCCUUCCAAUGGAUUAAAAAACUUGCAUAAUUUUUUCCAUAGGGAAGAAAGGGAAGAAUUAUAACGCACUUCUGUUACAAUGUGGUCUCUGCUAAUUUUAGCAGUUAGAUCACAUGAUCACACACUUCAGUUCCUUUCAGAUCUUCAUCUAGAAUAAAAUCAAAUCUAGCACCUAAAAGUAAUAAACUACAUCUCUUCAAUAUAGCAGGAAAAUAAGAUCAAACUUCGCAUAAAGCAUGGGACAAAAGGGUCAUACUCAUAGCAUAUACAAAAAUAUAGAAGUCUUGAAAAAUUAAAAGUACCAAUCGAAUGGCUCGAAGAACUCGUAAUGGAUCAUCAAGAAAGGUAGCCUUUGGAGGUUAGGGGAUCAUUACAUUUCCAGACUUAAGGUCUGAGAUUCCUGCAGAGUACCAAGGAAGUUAUUAGAUGAACAAACAAGUAGCGCUUAAAAUAAUUGUUUAGGUGAUAAAAUCCACUCUGACCUCUCUAGGAUUUAUCAAAAGAAUAACUUUAUUUCAUUCACAUUCUUCAUUGAUAAGAAUCAUAACUUAACUGUAAGAAAAGUUUUAACACCCAAGCAUAGUGAGUAUACUAGUAUUAACCAUCAAAAUCUUCAGUCUGCUAGUUCAUUAAGCAUGGGCUGUUACAAAAUUGAAUAAACUCGUCUCUAACAUACAAUCCAGUCAAACUCAACAAUACUCAUCAAAUUCAAAUUUUGAAGAUUAAUCUUAACAAUUUUCAAUAAGCUGCCUACUUAAAAAAAUCAACAAUAAUCUUAAUAAUUUUCAAUAAUCAGCCAUUUAAAAAAACAAACUAAAUCAAUUACAGAGUGCUGCAAUGUGUCAUCUUUGAAUGCAAUGUCAGAGAGAACGGACUUGUGCGAUGAGUUAUGGGACUUCUUUAUUGAAAUUGAUUUAGGGUUUGGAGAGAGAAUAUCUAAGCGCAUACUUGAGGUUCAAUGCAAAUAUUGCCAUAGAGCUACACCUUCUACAAUGGCUUAAUGAACAAUACUAGAUAGAAAUAGAAACCAUGUAAGUUUGCAAAUAGAAAGAGAGUAAACUUUCAAAACAAAAAAUUUGACAAAUUAACAUAUCAACCAAAUGGCUUCUUAAUUUGUCAUAUACUUAAUAAUAACUAUGACAUGUGUAGUUGUCAUUGUCAAGCCACUUUGCAUAUAUACCGGAAAUCCUAAUGACCAUAGUCAUAUGGCUCUAUAGGAAGAUAACAAGAAGACAACUAACUAUUAAUUCCUCCAAUUGGAAUAAGGUUUUCUUUGUAAAUUCCCAUCUGCCAACCAUAUAUCGAUCCUUUGACACCAACCUCUUUAGUUAUCUGAGUGCUUAAAUUAAACCAGACUAGUUCAUCAUUUUUUUGUUUGAAGCAAAUGUCACCCUUCUUCCCUACUCCAAUGGGACAUUCAAUGGAAGGUAUGGGCCCAAUAACAAAGAGUUUGACCCAUGAUUCCUUCACACCGAGUUCCCCCAAAAUCGAAAUGUGAAAAGUAGUAGCCUUAUAACAAUUUGAAAUAAAAGCAAUAGACCCAUUUAACACCACUAAGUGUCUCUCUAUAAAUAUCAAAUCACAUUUUUCAUUCAUGUCUAGUAAAGGUGUUGUAAAAAACACCCCAUUGAUCAAGUCAAAUGAUACCAAACAGCCUUCAACAUCAUAUAAA